ensembl:misc_RNA Metazoa_SRP Metazoan signal recognition particle RNA
GCCGGGUGUGGUAGUGCAUGCCUGUAAUCCUAGCUACUCAGGAGGCUGAGGCAGGAGAAUCACUUGAACCCGGGAGGCAGAGGUUGCAGUGAGCCGAGAUCUUGCCACUGCACCCCAGCCUGGGUGACUGAGUGAGACUCUGUCUCAU